GUGUGAGGGAGGGAGGAGGGUCCAGACAACGUUGCCAUCAUCACUUACACUCAGUUACCUCCGGGAGUCACACGAUUGGGGCUGUCACUCUGAGCUCUACGCUAUACUCCACGUUUCUUAUACGGACGGUGACGCGAAGAUGGAAGAUGCAGGACACGAUGAGCACAAGACUGGUUUCUACUGGUGAACGGGACUCUUGGUGCAUCACAUCAGAAACCUGACUGUCUACUAUAACCAGUUAAGGGCACCCUGAGCUGUUAGAAGUUGCGGCCCUGCCUUACCAGCUGAGAGGGAGCUUGAAAGUCCUACCUAUAAUGCCUAUUUCCCAUGGAUGAACUUAGUAUGGAUGACUGGUUACGGUGGAAGGCCCAGGAGUUGGCUGUAACAGAUCCACCGCUGCUGCUAGUUAAGCUGAAGUUCAGACCUGCGACUGAAAAUAACAUGACAUGAUUCAACAUCUAUGGCAUCCUCCAGGGAUGAACUUCACAUGAAAAUUGAGGAUUUACUGUAUUUGGAAUGGGAAGUUGUACACUGAACCACCUUAAAUUCCAAGAAGAAAAGAGCAUCUAAUAUAGGCAUACAUAACGAAUGACAUUGAAGGUACAACAUUAAUGUAAUUCAUUAUCACCAAUAAGACCAAUUCACAAAAUUAUGGCAACAUGCACACACACAUAUAAUGUACUGGUACCUGUUUCAUGAAUUGAGAGGAGGGAUCGUUGUUUAUCGUUCACUUCUAUGGCAUUGAGAGUGAAAAAAUUUACCGCAUAGCUCAACAGGAGCUUGACCAAAAUGAGGGUGGAUAUGAAACAGAGGACCAGACAAGUCCACCACCAUAGCUUGCUCCUCCCACUAACAUUACCGCUGUGCUUCCUGUGGGCAACAAUCCUUGUACAGUAAUUGCAGGUAAAUAAUACAUUUAGUAUAUUGUAUGUGUAAAAUUUUAUCACUAUGGCAUUAUUGUGUGGAUGAGCCUAAUAAAGCUCUACUAAACCGAC